GUCUUAUUUGGCUCAGUCAGUAGAGCAUGAGACUCUUAAUCUUAGGGUUGUGCGUUCGAGCCCCACAUUGGGCA